rnacentral:rRNA from 9 species
GCGGGGCUACCCGCUGAAUU